rnacentral:rRNA from 1 species
UACGGAGGAUCCGAGCGUUAUCCGGAUUUAUUGGGUUUAAAGGGAGCGUAGGCGGACGCUUAAGUCAGUUGUGAAAGUUUGCGGCUCAACCGUAAAAUUGCAGUUGAUACUGGGUGUCUUGAGUACAGUAGAGGUGGGCGGAAUUCGUGGUGUAGCGGUGAAAUGCUUAGAUAUCACGAAGAACCCCGAUUGCGAAGGCAGCUUACUAAACUGUGACUGACAUUGAUGCUCGAAAGUGUGGGUAUCAAACAGG